GGUUAAGCGACUAAGCGUACACGGUGGAUGCCCUGGCAGUCAGAGGCGAUGAAGGACGUGCUAAUCUGCGAAAAGCGCCGGCGAGGUGAUAUGAACCCUUGACCCGGCGAUGUCCGAAUGGGGAAACCCAGUGCAAUUCGUUGCACUAUCGUUAACUGAAUACAUAGGUUAACGAGGCGAACCGGGGGAACUGAAACAUCUAAGUACCCCGAGGAAAAGAAAUCAACCGAGAUUCCCCCAGUAGCGGCGAGCGAACGGGGAGCAGCCCAGAGUCUGAAUCAGCUUGUGUGUUAGUGGAAGCGUCUGGAAAGUCGCACGGUACAGGGUGACAGUCCCGUACACGAAAAUGCACAGGCUGUGAACUCGAAGAGUAGGGCGGGACACGUGGUAUCCUGUCUGAAUAUGGGGGGACCAUCCUCCAAGGCUAAAUACUCCUGACUGACCGAUAGUGAACCAGUACCGUGAGGGAAAGGCGAAAAGAACCCCGGCGAGGGGAGUGAAAAAGAACCUGAAACCGUGUACGUACAAGCAGUGGGAGCACCUUCGGGUGUGACUGCGUACCUUUUGUAUAAUGGGUCAGCGACUUAUAUUCUGUAGCAAGGUUAACCGUAUAGGGGAGCCGAAGGGAAACCGAGUCUUAACUGGGCGUUAAGUUGCAGGGUAUAGACCCGAAACCCGGUGAUCUAGCCAUGGGCAGGUUGAAGGUUGGGUAACACUAACUGGAGGACCGAACCGACUAAUGUUGAAAAAUUAGCGGAUGACUUGUGGCUGGGGGUGAAAGGCCAAUCAAACCGGGAGAUAGCUGGUUCUCCCCGAAAGCUAUUUAGGUAGCGCCUCGUGAACUCAUCUUCGGGGGUAGAGCACUGUUUCGGCUAGGGGGCCAUCCCGGCUUACCAACCCGAUGCAAACUACGAAUACCGAAGAAUGUUAUCACGGGAGACACACGGCGGGUGCUAACGUCCGUCGUGAAGAGGGAAACAACCCAGACCGCCAGCUAAGGUCCCAAAGUCAUGGUUAAGUGGGAAACGAUGUGGGAAGGCCCAGACAGCCAGGAUGUUGGCUUAGAAGCAGCCAUCAUUUAAAGAAAGCGUAAUAGCUCACUGGUCGAGUCGGCCUGCGCGGAAGAUGUAACGGGGCUAAACCAUGCACCGAAGCUGCGGCAGCGACACUAUGUGUUGUUGGGUAGGGGAGCGUUCUGUAAGCCGUUGAAGGUGGCCUGUGAGGGUUGCUGGAGGUAUCAGAAGUGCGAAUGCUGACAUAAGUAACGAUAAAGCGGGUGAAAAGCCCGCUCGCCGGAAGACCAAGGGUUCCUGUCCAACGUUAAUCGGGGCAGGGUGAGUCGACCCCUAAGGCGAGGCCGAAAGGCGUAGUCGAUGGGAAACAGGUUAAUAUUCCUGUACUUGGUGUUACUGCGAAGGGGGGACGGAGAAGGCUAUGUUAGCCGGGCGACGGUUGUCCCGGUUUAAGCAUGUAGGCGGAGGUUCCAGGUAAAUCCGGUACCUUUUUAACGCUGAGGUGUGAUGACGAGGCACUACGGUGCUGAAGUAACAAAUGCCCUGCUUCCAGGAAAAGCCUCUAAGCAUCAGGUAACAUCAAAUCGUACCCCAAACCGACACAGGUGGUCAGGUAGAGAAUACCAAGGCGCUUGAGAGAACUCGGGUGAAGGAACUAGGCAAAAUGGUGCCGUAACUUCGGGAGAAGGCACGCUGAUAUGUAGGUGAAGCCCCUGCGGGUGGAGCUGAAAUCAGUCGAAGAUACCAGCUGGCUGCAACUGUUUAUUAAAAACACAGCACUGUGCAAACACGAAAGUGGACGUAUACGGUGUGACGCCUGCCCGGUGCCGGAAGGUUAAUUGAUGGGGUUAGCGGUAACGCGAAGCUCUUGAUCGAAGCCCCGGUAAACGGCGGCCGUAACUAUAACGGUCCUAAGGUAGCGAAAUUCCUUGUCGGGUAAGUUCCGACCUGCACGAAUGGCGUAAUGAUGGCCAGGCUGUCUCCACCCGAGACUCAGUGAAAUUGAACUCGCUGUGAAGAUGCAGUGUACCCGCGGCAAGACGGAAAGACCCCGUGAACCUUUACUAUAGCUUGACACUGAACACUGGUCCUUGAUGUGUAGGAUAGGUGGGAGGCUUUGAAGCGUGGACGCCAGUCUGCGUGGAGCCAACCUUGAAAUACCACCCUUUAAUGGCUGGUGUUCUAACGUAGACCCGUAAUCCGGGUUGCGGACAGUGUCUGGUGGGUAGUUUGACUGGGGCGGUCUCCUCCCAAAGAGUAACGGAGGAGCACGAAGGUUAGCUAAUCCUGGUCGGACAUCAGGAGGUUAGUGCAAUGGCAUAAGCUAGCUUGACUGCGAGAGUGACGGCUCGAGCAGGUGCGAAAGCAGGUCAUAGUGAUCCGGUGGUUCUGAAUGGAAGGGCCAUCGCUCAACGGAUAAAAGGUACUCCGGGGAUAACAGGCUGAUACCGCCCAAGAGUUCAUAUCGACGGCGGUGUUUGGCACCUCGAUGUCGGCUCAUCACAUCCUGGGGCUGAAGUAGGUCCCAAGGGUAUGGCUGUUCGCCAUUUAAAGUGGUACGCGAGCUGGGUUUAGAACGUCGUGAGACAGUUCGGUCCCUAUCUGCCGUGGGCGCUGGAGAAUUGAGGGGGGCUGCUCCUAGUACGAGAGGACCGGAGUGGACGCAUCACUGGUGUUCGGGUUGUCAUGCCAAUGGCACUGCCCGGUAGCUAAAUGCGGAAGAGAUAAGUGCUGAAAGCAUCUAAGCACGAAACUUGCCCCGAGAUGAGUUCUCCCUGAGACUUAAAGUCUCCUGAAGGAACGUUGAAGACGACGACGUUGAUAGGUCGGGUGUGUAAGCGCAGCGAUGCGUUGAGCUAACCGAUACUAAUGAACCGUGAGGCUUAACCUUAC
rnacentral:rRNA from 1 species